GCCCGCGCCCGCGGGCGGUGCCGCCCCGGCCGUCCGCCGGCGGGCGGGGGCGGUGCGGCCGCUCCCCGUGCCCGUUCCGGCCGGGCCGGGGGCCC
rnacentral:tRNA from 1 species